ensembl:lncRNA
AUGAACCUUGAGGCAUGGAUGAGGGGUUGUGCUGCUAAAUUUCGAGGUUGUGAGGCAUUUAGUUUUGUUGUUUUGUCCGGUGCCGGGAUUCCAUCAUUCUUUUAUAUAUAUAAAUGCUUUUUUGUUUGUUUGUUUGUUUGUUUUUUGUCUCUAGAGCUGGUUCCUAUUGUAAACCCCAUAAUCCCAUCCUGGACUUUUUCAGACCAUUUUCCAAGUGUUGCCCUUUUCCUCCUGAGCAGAUCUUCCAAAUGGGCAGUAGCAGUUUUCAAUUUUUCCCACCACAAGAGAGACUCCAUGCACCUCUAACAGCUCAUAUCCAAUUCAACUAUUUCUGAGUCAAUCAGAGGAGGGAGUGGGUGAAAUACCUUCCCCUGUAUUGUAUUGUAUGUUAUGCCAGUUCUUUUGGUGAUUACACUGUUUUGACAUCCGUCUGGCCAUCUGCUUCUUCCUUCAAACUCAAUCACAGUUUCGUAGCUUUCAAAAUAACAUGGCAUACCAGACGACAAACCUACACUGCUCCCUUGUGGCAGACAACUGAUUUCAGUAACAGUCUGACUUUGCUAGCAUAACUGCUCCCAUUUCUCAGUCCAUUUUUCCACUAAAACACACAGUGUGCGUAUUUACACUCAUUAUUUACAAACAUAUAUUCUAUUCAUAUACUCAGAUACACAACUAUACACAAAUCAUUCCCUCACUGCUUUUUUUAACCUAUUCAUUCACAUUGAAACCAGUCCUUCACAAACAUUCAUAAAUAUUCUUGGUGAAAGCCAUGAUAUAGGUGGCCAAGCAACGUCAGAAUGAUCAAGGUGGUAAGUUAUUAUUGAGGAAACAGACACAAGCUAGGAGAGGCUGCAACAGUUUACUUUUGCCUGAGAUGAUUGAGAAGGGCAAGACUCUACUCUUUGUUUUUUUUUUGCACCCUGCUCAGUUAAUUGGGUAUGAAGUAUUUUUGCAUUUUGCACCCAGUUUGCAUCCCCGGUGGUGAAGUGUGUUAAAGCACUGAGCUGCUGAACUUGCAGACUGAAAGGUCACAGGUUCAAAUUCCAGGACUGGAAUGAGCACCCGCUGUUAGCUCCAGCUUCUUCCAACCUAGCAGUUUGAAAACAUGCCAAUGUGAGUAGAUCAAUAGGUACCGCUCUGGCGGGAAGGUAACGACGCGCCAUGCAGUCAUGCUGGCCACAUGACCUUGGAGGUGGCUAUGGACAAGGCUGGCUCUUCGGCUUAGAAAUGGAGACUGGACUUAAUGUCAGGGGAAACCUUUACCUUUUUCAUUGAUUCAAAUAAUUUAAGGGCAGUGCAUUGAAGAUAGAAAAACCAGGACAUCAAAAGUGGAAAUUUUUAGGGUUCAUUGGGAUUUUCCCUACCAAAUUGGGGGAAUGGGCGGUAUGAAAGAGGAGUUGCUCAUUCAAAUAUUUCUGGGCCUCUAGAAAAAAGAGCUUCCUCUGCUAGAGGCAGCAGUCAGCCACAGUGAUCUAAGCACAGAGAAGGAAAGCAACGUCCUUCCUUGUACCCAAAUGUUUCUGUUUCGUAUGAAAAAGAUACGUGACCCCAUUCCCUCCACCCAGUAACACUGAAACAUUAUGAUCUUAGCAUACUCUUUAUUUAUUUUUAAAAUGAGAAAGAUGCUGGGGGAAAGCCGCAUAUUACAUUAAUUGAAAGAUAAAAGAUAAAGCAGAUGUAUCAUACUCGCCUCUCCACUAGACAAUAGAGAC